CGGCAUGCCUUACACAUGCAAGUCGAACGGCAGCACGGGAGCAAUCCUGGUGGCGAGUGGCGAACGGGUGAGUAAUAUAUCGGAACGUGCCCAGUCGUGGGGGAUAACGUAGCGAAAGCUACGCUAAUACCGCAUACUAUCUAUGGAUGAAAGCGGGGGAUCGCAAGACCUCGCGCGAUUGGAGCGGCCGAUAUCAGAUUAGGUAGUUGGUGAGGUAAAGGCUCACCAAGCCGACGAUCUGUAGCUGGUCUGAGAGGACGACCAGCCACACUGGGACUGAGACACGGCCCAGACUCCUACGGGAGGCAGCAGUGGGGAAUUUUGGACAAUGGACGCAAGUCUGAUCCAGCCAUUCCGCGUGCAGGAUGAAGGCCCUCGGGUUGUAAACUGCUUUUGUACGGAACGAAAAGGUUUCUAUUAAUACUAGGAGCUCAUGACGGUACCGUAAGAAUAAGCACCGGCUAACUACGUG
rnacentral:rRNA from 1 species